GACGAACGCUGGCGGCGUGCCUAAUACAUGCAAGUUGAGCGCUGAAGGUUGGUACUUGUACCAACUGGAUGAGCAGCGAACGGGUGAGUAACGCGUGGGGAAUCUGCCUUUGAGCGGGGGACAACAUUUGGAAACGAAUGCUAAUACCGCAUAAAAACUUUAAACACAAGUUUUAAGUUUGAAAGAUGCAAUUGCAUCACUCAAAGAUGAUCCCGCGUUUUAUUAGCUAGUUGGUGAGGUAAAGGCUCACCAAGGCGAUGAUACAUAGCCGACCUGAGAGGGUGAUCGGCCACAUUGGGACUGAGACACGGCCCAAACUCCUACGGGAGGCAGCAGUAGGGAAUCUUCGGCAAGGGACGAAAGUCUGACCGAGCAACGCCGCGUGAGUGAAGAAGGUUUUCGGAUCGUAAAACACUGUUGGUAGAGAAGAACGUUGGUGAGAGUGGAAAGCUCAUCAAGUGACGGUAACUACCCAGAAAGGGACGGCUAACUACGUG
rnacentral:rRNA from 1 species